AGGGCCUGAAUACACAAAGCGCUGAGAGAGUGGGGCAGUGUGGUCACGGACACAGGCAGGGACUGGGAUGUGACAGGCUGGAGCUCAGGGACUUGUUGGGGGAAUGGGGGUCAGUGACAGGCUGGAGGCUUAAUGCAAGGAUGGAGGCUUGGCUCUAGGGGCAGCACCUGGGGUGGCCAUGGGAUCUCAGGGAGGGGAGUGGGAGUCAGAGAAAGGGUCUUAGAGAGGCUGGGGCUUUGUGAGGAGCUAAGGGAGACACUGAUCGGGGUGGGGACCCUGCAGGCAAAAACCUGAUUGUAGUGACAGAGGUGGGGUUUCUCCGCACGACGGUCAUGGGGGCCUUGGCAGGAGCGGUUUUGGCAGAGGGUGGGGCCGGUGCCUCUAGAAGGUAUGAAGAUGUAAAUGAAGCCCUGUCCAGGCUAUGGGCAUCAAGACAGCAUUGCCGGCGGCUGAGCUGGGCCUCUACUCUCUGGUGCUGAGUGGGGCCCUGGCCUAUGCUGGCCGGGGCCUCCUUGAGGCUUCACAAGAUGGGGCCCACAGGAAGGCCUUCCGGGAGUCUGUGCGACCCGGCUGGGAGUACAUUGGCCGGAAGAUGGAUGUGGCUGAUUUCGAGUGGGUGAUGUGGUUCACCUCCUUUCGCAACGUCAUCAUCUUCGCCCUCUCCGGACAUGUGCUGUUUGCUAAACUC
rnacentral:sRNA from 1 species